AGCCCUUUCCCAGGCGGUAGCGGGGGCGCUGGUGCUGUUGCCCUUUUAAGCUGCGGCUUGACGGGAGCCGCGCCUCCUGUCGGUGGAGUCGGUUAUAAAGGGAGCAGCCCCCCAGGCCGCCACACAGCUCCCGCCAAGUCCUCGGUGUCCCUUGCCAUUUUCCAGCCGCGCUCCCACGAGGGUCACCGCGGCGGGGAGAGGUGGAGCCGCGAGAGCUCGGCCGGGGGCCCCGCCGGGUGGUCGCGGCCAUGACAGCGGCUCGGGACAGGUUCCUUUUCCGCGCCCCUCCCGCCUGAGAUGAGGGAAAGAUGUCCCUGUCAGCGUUCAAGGCCAAACUGAAGUUGCCGGCCUCUAUCUUCCACGAGAACCAGGAGCCACAGCCGCGGCUCACGCUCCACCGCAACAUCAAGAUUACAAGUGGACACCUGAGUCAGCAGGACCUGGAAUCCCAGAUGAGAGAGAGCUUAUCUACAUGGACUCAGAUCUUGUUGUCACCCCCAUUAAUGACAAUCCAAGGGUACAGAAAGCACUCUAACAAUUCCAAUUGCUAAUCCAGCAUUCGCAGAUAGCUCUAAACUGCGAUAU
rnacentral:sRNA from 1 species